UACACCAAGAGAUUAAGUUAUAUUUUAAGGUAAAAAGACAGUUAGGCUUAAUAAUCGAUAUUAGUGUUUAUUGACUAUUUAUAUUGAGGUAAAAUUCUUAUAUAAAUAACUAAAUCGGAUAUAACAUCAUUGCUGAAGCUGUGAUAAUUAUGAGGGAAACUGGGAUUAGAUACCCCACUAUUCGUGAUUGUAAAUCUAAUUAAAUUUACCAGAGUACUAUGAAUGGGAAUACUUGAAAUUCUAAAGUAGAGAUUUAAAACUCAAAGGGCUUGGCGGUGUUUUAGACCUAUCAGGGGAACCUGUCUCGUAAUCGACAAUCCACGUUAAACCUAACCUCAUUUUGUAUACAGUCUGUAUACCGUCGUCGUCAGGUAACUUUUAAAAAAUUAGAAGUUAGCAAUAUUAAUUAUUGUAAAUUUAAACGUCAGAUCAAGGUGCAGCUAAUAGUGAGGAGAGGAUGGGUUACAAUUAUUUUAUUCGUAAUCACGGACAAUUUAAUGAAAAAGGGUUUAAAGGAGGACUUGAAAGUAAAAUAAAAUAUAUAAACAAUUUGAAUAUGGCUCUG
rnacentral:rRNA from 1 species